CCUACGGGAGGCAGCAGUGAGGAAUAUUGGUCAAUGGACGCAAGUCUGAACCAGCCAUGCCGCGUGCAGGAAGACGGCUCUAUGAGUUGUAAACUGCUUUUGUACGAGGGUAAACGCAGAUACGCGUAUCUGUCUGAAAGUAUCGUACGAAUAAGGAUCGGCUAACUCCGUGCCAGCAGCCGCGGUAAUACGGAGGAUUCAAGCGUUAUCCGGAUUUAUUGGGUUUAAAGGGUGCGUAGGCGGUCGGAUAAGUUAGAGGUGAAAUCCCGAGGCUCAACUUCGGAAUUGCCUCUGAUACUGUUCGGCUAGAGAGUAGGUGCGGUAGGCGGAAUGUAUGGUGUAGCGGUGAAAUGCUUAGAGAUCAUACAGAACACCGAUUGCGAAGGCAGCUUACCAAGCUACUACUGACGUUGAGGCACGAAAGCGUGGGUAGCAAACAGGAUUAGAUACCCCAGUAGUC
rnacentral:rRNA from 1 species